rnacentral:misc_RNA from 1 species
UGUGGGAGCGAGCCUGCUCGCGAUGGCGGCGGAUCUGUUGGCAUUAAUGUGGCGGAUACACUGCCAUCGCGAGCAGGCUCGCUCCCACA